AGGACGAACGCUGGCGGCGUGCUUAACACAUGCAAGUCGAGCGAGGCCCGUCCUUCGGGACGGUGCCCUAGCGGCGAACGGGUGAGUAACACGUGGGCAACCUGCCCCUAGCACUGGGAUAACUCCGGGAAACCGGGGCUAAUACCGGAUAUGACCUCUGAAGGCAUCUUCGGAGGUGUAAAGGAUUCUGGCUAGGGAUGGGCCCGCGGCCUAUCAGCUUGUUGGUGGGGUAAUGGCCUACCAAGGCGACGACGGGUAGCCGGCCUGAGAGGGCGACCGGCCACACUGGGACUGAGACACGGCCCAGACUCCUACGGGAGGCAGCAGUGGGGAAUAUUGCACAAUGGGCGAAAGCCUGAUGCAGCGACGCCGCGUGAGGGAUGACGGCCUUCGGGUUGUAAACCUCUUUCAGCAGGGACGAAGCGAAGUGACGGUACCUGCAGAAGAAGCACCGGCCAACUACGCGCCAGCAGCCGC
rnacentral:rRNA from 1 species